rnacentral:rRNA from 1 species
UGGGGAAUAUUGGACAAUGGGCGCAAGCCUGAUCCAGCAAUGCCGCGUGGUGAAGAAGGCCUUCGGGUUGUAAAGCCCUUUUGUCCGGGAAGAAAGCGCCCUGGUGAAUAGCCGGGGUGGAUGACGGUACCCAAAGAAUAAGCACCGGCUAACUUCGUGCCAGCAGCCGCGGUAAUACGAAGGGUGCAAGCGUUACUCGGAAUUACUGGGCGUAAAGCGUGCGUAGGUGGUGGCUUAAGUCCGUUGUGAAAGCCCUGGGCUCAACCUGGGAAUUGCAGUGGAUACUGGGUCACUAGAGUGUGGUAGAGGGUGGCGGAAUUCCCGGUGUAGCAGUGAAAUGCGUAGAGAUCGGGAGGAACACCCGUGGCGAAGGCGGCCACCUGGGCCAACACUGACACUGAGGCACGAAAGCGUGGGGAGCAAACAGGAUUAGAUACC